UCAGCUCGUGUCGUGAGAUGUUGGGUUAAGUCCCGCAACGAGCGCAACCCCUAUUGUUAGUUGCCAUCAUUCAGUUGGGCACUCUAGCGAGACUGCCGGUAAUAAACCGGAGGAAGGUGGGGAUGACGUCAAAUCAUCAUGCCCCUUAUGACCUGGGCUACACACGUGCUACAAUGGUUGGUACAACGAGUUGCGAGUCGGUGACGGUGAGCUAAUCUCUUAAAGCCAAUCUCAGUUCGGAUUGUAGGCUGCAACUCGCCUACAUGAAGUCGGAAUCGCUAGUAAUCGCGGAUCAGCACGCCGCGGUGAAUACGUUCCCGGGCCUU
rnacentral:rRNA from 1 species